AUUAGCACUGUGGCACUUUAAAUAUUUUGCACGUAUAUGGCACUUCAAGAGAUGAUUUUGAUUGCACUUUAAAUGACCCAUUAGCACUUUAUUAAUAUACAUAGAUCACAUUCACACUUGUCUUCACCAAAUUUGGUAUGUCAAUAUUCUAUAGAAGCCUAGGUGUUCACAUCUAGGUCAUUAUUUUGAUAUGUUUGUUUCCAUAUAGGUUUGUUGUAUUC